UCUCUGUUAGUAUAUCGGUUAGUACACGCGCCUGUCACUCGCGUUGAGUGCGCGCGAAAGCGGGGUUCGACUCCCCGACAGAGAG